GUGCUCGCUUUGAGAGCACAUAAACUAGAAGUGGAACGGUGCAGGGGAUAUUAUCGUGGCCCCCAUGCAAGGAGGACAUAGAAAUCUGUGAAGCGUCCCACAUUUAA